UACGGGGGGGGGCAAGCGUUGUUCGGAAUUACUGGGCGUAAAGGGUGCGUAGGCGGCUUUUUUAAGUCGGAUGUGAAAACUCUGGGCUCAACCCAGAGCCUGCAUCCGAAACUGGAGAGCUGGGGUUCUGGAGGGGAAAGCGGAAUUCCUGGUGUAGCAGUGAAAUGCGUAGAUAUCAGGAGGAACACCGUGGCGAAGGCGGCUUUCUGGACAGAUACCGACUGAGGCACGAAAAGCUAGGGGGAGCAAACAGG
rnacentral:rRNA from 1 species